AUGACGCCCGGAGCCCUCAGUUUCUCCCCUCACUGACAGGAAAGCUGACCAAUGGGGCCGAGAGGAGGCUCGCGGGGUCUGAUCAUUGGACAGGCGGGCAAGAGGAGGAGGACGCCCUGCAUUCUGGGAGUCGUAGUCUUCCCCCUUUCCCCGGAUGUUUUGUACGUUGUUUUUGUUUUUGUUUUUGUUUUUUCAAGCUGGCGUUCCUUGACCUACGCUAAAGAGACUGCCUGGCGGUUGUAAUAAAAGUAGCCUAAACGUCAGCGAAUGGGAGUUUUUACGCAGGGACAUAAAAACAUAAUAGCAACCUGUUUUUUAAGUGUACUAAAAUCAGGCGUGCUGGGUAUGUUUCUCAAGCAAACUGCCCUCAAGUGGCAUUCCGAGAAAAAAGUGAAUUUUGAGAAUCUGGGAUGGAAAUAGAAUAAUAGCAUCUUUGGAAAAGUUUCUUUAGUCGAGCGACCCAUUUGCUCUCUGAAUACCAUUGCCUGAAGUAACACGUAAAAAUAGGCGGCGGAGGAGGGCGAAGUCAAAGAAACAUUUUCAGUAUUGUGUCCUGCCCCCUUGAGAUGGCCUCGUGUUUUAUUCUACAAAAUUCAGCACAUAAUCACUACACCAUCUUACUUGCAAAUGGGUGAGAAGACUAUAACUUUAAAGAUCCCAAAAUCUCAUACCGGUAAUGGACAGAGACAGGAUAUGAACCCAGGAAAUAUUGCCCACAUGUUGAUCCUCAAAUCAAAAACCUAAGUAUUUGCAGGGAGAUGUGACAGUAAUGACGUUCUCAGCAAAAUAUAAAGGCAGGUGAGUACACAGUAGGACCAGAAGUAGGGGUGCACUGGGCCUUCCUGUAAAGGACACUGACCUGCAGAGUAAGGCUGUGUUUGAUUUAGUAGGCAGAAGGAAGCCAUUGAUA